CAGUAGCCGCGGUAAAACGGAGGGUGCAAGCGUUAAUCGGAAUUACUGGGCGUAAAGCGCACGCAGGCGGUCUGUCAAGUCAGAUGUGAAAUCCCCGGGCUUAACCUGGGAACUGCAUUUGAAACUGGCAGGCUAGAGUCUUGUAGAGGGGGGUAGAAUUCCAGGUGUAGCGGUGAAAUGCGUAGAGAUCUGGAGGAAUACCGGUGGCGAAGGCGGCCCCCUGGACAAAGACUGACGCUCAGGUGCGAAAGCGUGGGGAGCAAACAGGAUUAGAUACCCGUGUAGUCCCUGUCUCUUAUAC
rnacentral:rRNA from 1 species